GAGUGAGUGGCGAACUGGUGAGUAACACGUGGGAAACCUGCCCAGAAGCGGGGGAUAACACCUGGAAACAGAUGCUAAUACCGCAUAACAACUUGGACCGCAUGGUCCGAGUUUGAAAGAUGGCUUCGGCUAUCACUUUUGGAUGGUCCCGCGGCGUAUUAGCUAGAUGGUGGGGUAACGGCUCACCAUGGCAAUGAUACGUAGCCGACCUGAGAGGGUAAUCGGCCACAUUGGGACUGAGACACGGCCCAAACUCCUACGGGAGGCAGCAGUAGGGAAUCUUCCACAAUGGACGAAAGUCUGAUGGAGCAACGCCGCGUGAGUGAAGAAGGGUUUCGGCUCGUAAAACUCUGUUGUUAAAGAAGAACAUAUCUGAGAGUAACUGUUCAGGUAUUGACGGUAUUUAACCAGAAAGCCACGGCUAACUACGUGCCAGCAGCCGCGGUAAUACGUAGGUGGCAAGCGUUGUCCGGAUUUAUUGGGCGUAAAGCGAGCGCAGGCGGUUUUUUAAGUCUGAUGUGAAAGCCUUCGGCUCAACCGAAGAAGUGCAUCGGAAACUGGGAAACUUGAGUGCAGAAGAGGACAGUGGAACUCCAUGUGUAGCGGUGAAAUGCGUAGAUAUAUGGAAGAACACCAGUGGCGAACGCGGCUGUCUGGUCUGUAACUGACGCUGAGCUCGAAAGUAUGGGUAGCAACAGAUUAGAUACCCUGGUAGUCCAUACCGUAACGAUGAUGCUAGUGUUGAGGUUUCCGCCCUUCAUGCUGCAGCUACGCAUAGCAUCCGCCUCGGGGGAGUACCG
rnacentral:rRNA from 2 species